rnacentral:misc_RNA from 1 species
CAAGAAGAGACCCUAACCGGUCCUCUCAACCCUGCCCAUCGUACCUUUUUUUGUUGUUCCCCUCGGCGGUGCCCGCGGGCCCGCCGGCGGGAAGACCAAACAAACCCUUUGCAAACAGCAUAUCAGAAAUCUCUGAUCAAAACAUGAAUUGUCA